UAUAAGUACAUAUUAAUAGAUACAUACGAAUUUUGAUCUGUCAUUUUAUUUUUGAUCCAAAGAUUUCGAACAAAUGUUUCGAACAAAUAUUAUAAUAAUCGCACAGUGAUGAGACCAGAAAUGAUGGAAACAAGUUUAUCCUGUUCGUUGAGGAUGUACAAAUGAUCUCACUGGGAAGAGAUGCAUGAAGGUUUGUUUGCUACAAACUAAGUAUGUAAAAUUUUUAAAAAUUUUACAUAUACUUACACCAUCCAAAACUGUAUUUUCCUCGCCUAAUGGUCUGUUUAAAUCUGCAGUUGCAUAUCUUUGAAAUUCUGUAGAUAACAUUUUAUCAACAAGUUUUUCCAUUUCUGUCAAUUGAGAGCUUAAAUGUCUAAGCAAGACAGAAAAAAGCAAUGAGAUCUAAGGCUGCAACAUAAUCUGGCGUGGAUAACAACAGUUGUAUCAUUGGUUGACUUUGGUGUACUGUAGCCAUAAGUUUCAGCUUUUCUUGAACCAAUAAUCGAUUAGAUCUCGCUCGUUCCAAC